AGAGUAAGAACACCGGCGUAAAGUGACGGUUGAACGGGGAGUUGUCAACUGUACGAAGCGAAAGCGCGGUCGGCGUUCUGCAUCCCGCU
rnacentral:ncRNA from 1 species